rnacentral:rRNA from 3 species
CAGUGAUAAACUGGAGGAAGGUGGGGAUGACGUCAAGUCAUCAUGGCCCUUACGAGUAGGGCUACACACGUGCUACAAUGGCAUAUACAAAGAGAAGCGACCUCGCGAGAGCAAGCGGACCUCAUAAAGUAUGUCGUAGUCCGGAUUGGAGUCUGCAACUCGACUCCAUGAAGUCGGAAUCGCUAGUAAUCGUAGAUCAGAAUGCUACGGUGAAUACGUUCCCGGGCCUUGUACACACCGCCCGUCACACCAUGGGAGUGGGUUGCAAAAGAAGUAGGUAGCUUAACCUUCGGGAGGGCGCUUACCACUUUGUGAUUCAUGACUGGGGUGAAGUCGUAACAAGGUAACCGUAGGGGAACCUGCGGUUGGAUCACCUCCUUA